rnacentral:rRNA from 1 species
UACGUAGGGUGCGAGCGUUAAUCGGAAUUACUGGGCGUAAAGCGUGCGCAGGCGGUUUUGUAAGCCGGAUGUGAAAUCCCCGGGCUUAACCUGGGAAUGGCAUUCGGGACUGCAAGGCUGGAGUGCGGCAGAGGAGACUGGAAUUCCUGGUGUAGCAGUGAAAUGCGUAGAUAUCAGGAGGAACACCGGUGGCGAAGGCGGGUCUCUGGGCAGUAACUGACGCUGAGGUGCGAAAGCGUGGGGAGCAAACAGG